GAUGAACGCUGGCGGCGUGCCUAAUACAUGCAAGUCGAGCGAACGGACGAGAAGCUUUCUUCUCUGAUGUUAGCGGCGGACGGGUGAGUAACACGUGGAUAACCUACCUAUAAGUCUGGGAUAACUUCGGGAAACCGUAGCUAAUACCGGAUAAUAUUUUGAACCGCAUGGUUCAAAAGUUCAAGACGGUCUUGCUGUCACUUAUAGAUGGAUCCGCGCUGCAUUAGCUAGUUGGUAAGGUAACGGCUUACCAAGGCAACGAUGCAUAGCCGACCUGAGAGGGUGAUCGGCCACACUGGAACUGAGACACGGUCCAGACUCCUACGGGAGGCAGCAGUAGGGAAUCUUCGGCAAUGGGCGAAAGCCUGACGGAGCAACGCCGCGUGAGUGAUGAAGGUCUUCGGAUCGUAAAACUCUGUUAUUAGGGAAGAACAUAUGUGUAAGUAACUGUGCACAUCUUGACGGUACCUAAUCAGAAAGCCACGGCUAACUACGUG
rnacentral:rRNA from 1 species